UGGAGAAGAGUGGCUUCUCUUUCUCUUCCCCUUCCAAAUCCUGAUUUCCUCCUAGGCACUUUUGUCUGAACCACGUGGCACAAAUUGGCAGAGAACAAGGAAAAGAAGAACAGAGGAAGGAGAAAAGGAGAAAAGUCAUUCUGCUGAAAACGAGCUGACUGAGUUGGCUUGGCUGUACAUAGGAGGAAGACCCUGAUCCCUGGUGCUCAACACAGAAAUGCUUCAAUGAUACCCUGAGAUUGUUUUACCUUGCAACACUCUCUGGAAAAUUGCUGCUCCAGGAAUGCGAUGAAAAGAUCUGUAAGAGAGCACAGCCCCUGUUGAUUGACUUGUCUUGAUCAAACCAGAGCUUCUGGCUGGGAUACUGGUAUCUUGAGUGAGUCACAGCAGGAGAUACGUGCUGGAGCUGAAGAGGUUGGAGAGGCAGCAGAAAAGACAUUUACAACCAAGUGACCCCACCUGGACUCACGACUUGUGACUCAACCGGUCCUGCGGUCUCCCACCCAGAGGCAGAGUCAGUGCACGAGGACUGUUUUCCACACCCCUAUGAUUGCAUUCCCAACCAAUCAGAAGCACUUAUUCCCUAUUCCCCUGCCCACCAAAUGAUCCUUGUAAAACCCAAACCUUCAAGUAUUCAGGGAGAAUGAUUUGGGUAAUAACUCCAGCCCUUGUGCUCAGUGGCCUUGCAUUAAUUUAAUUCUUUCCCUAUUGCUAUACCACUGCAAUAGGGAAAGUCUUGGUGAAUAGGUUUUGUGUGUGCAGUGGCAGGAAGAACCUGUCAGUUGAUUACAAUCCCUCCAACCUAGAGAUAACUACUUUUAAAAUUCUUGGAUUAUGUCUAAAUCAUAUCUAUAUAACUCUCUACCUACACAUCCUUGUGUAAACAUGCACAUAUACACACACCCAUAUGCUAUAUAUAUAUAUGCAUCAAGUUUU
rnacentral:lncRNA from 1 species